ACGACUCGAAACUGGACGGAGUGGAAAGGAGGAGAGGGGUGGAGUGGAGGAGGAGGGGGAGGAGGGGAGUAAAAACAGUGAAAAAAGAGAGGAGAAAUCGCUGAAAUGCAGGCUUGGGACUGGGAGGAUGGAGGGAUGUCAUGUUGCUGCACUGAACGUUACUGAGGCCUCAGAGGCUGCAGGACGAACAGGAGUCUCAAAAACCAUCCGUUUCGUCCAGGGCUGCACAAGUGCUGCGAGAUGCACCACUGCAAAGGAGAUGUUCAGUUAUUUAGGAGAACUUCCUGCUUUGUUACUAAAUGUAAAUACACUGUAGGUCUUUUUAACAACCCAUGGUGGUGUUACACAGCCUCUUGUAAUAGAUAAUUUCUCUCCUUUAAUAAUUCAAAAAUAAUAUUUCAUGGGAUAAUGUAUAUUUUUGUAUAGUCAAUUUAAACAUUUGAUGUGCCACUCAAGGCAAAAUAUUUGGUGAUCAUAAAGUAUUUAUAUUUAUGUUUUUAUACAAUUUUACAUUUAUAAACAUCUUAUUUGCUCUCAGGCCGCACCAGGUUUGUGCAAACUGCUUUUAUAAAUUUAAAAAUAUUCUUAAAUAAAAUUAAAAAUAAAUCACAUGGACAUAAAACUGUGUCAAAUCUCUACAGGACAAAUAAAAAUUAAAACUGGCUGUAUAGUCUGUUCGUCCUCCUCUCCAUCCCUGAUUCCACCGACCCUCUCUGAGAGCCUGUUGUACACAUGCGUCGGAUUUAAGUGUAAUUGGCCGUAUCAUUGGCUUUUGUCUUGUUUACAAAGCAAGCAACAGGAGCGGUAAUUUAAUUUCCUCCGCCGCAUUGAAGAGCCACCAGCCGCCUGUCAGGCCGAGCUCAGCCUCCCCAGCCCCGGGCAGCGGGCAGGAGACUGGCCCCGGGGCGUAUCUGGAGGAGGAGGGAGAAGGGUGACAUCUGCCUCCAAAUAAAAGUGCACAUGAAUGAUAUGAUAUCCUGGGAUGUUAUGGAGGCUAAACCCACUCCUGUCUCUAUGGGUUAGCUGACAUAAAUCUAUCGUUUAGUAUUUAUUAAUAUGUUCAUUAAUGAAGAGGCAAAUUUUAUCCCUCAGCAGCAUCAUGUUCUGUUCAUUUUCUUGAUACUUCCAUUGAUUCAUAUUAUACGUCAUUGUUGUGUUCAAUUGUAUCUGACCUUACCUCUGUAUUUAUUUACAUAUAUUUAUUUGCACCACUUUUAUUUCUUCUUUCUUUUUCUGCCUACUUUUACAGUUACUUUUUUGUAUUGUUCUUAUGUGUUCUGUUUUAAUUUGUUGCAGCAACAACCUCUAUUCUCCAUGGGGAUCAAUUAUGUUUCAUUUUAUCCUAUUGGCGGUGGAAAAAAAUACAAAUAAAUAAUUUUCUGAAAAUA